AAUAAUAAUCAUCAUAAUAAAUCCAACGAUAUGUGUUCCUUGUGUGUCUUGUCUGGUCCUCUGUUGUGUGUUAUUUUGUCUAUACUGUCCAGUGUGCAAUUGUUAUUCACUCCUGUGUUAUAUUAUAUUACUAUGGUAUUGUAUUAUGUUACGUUUAUAUUUAUAUGUGUAUGUGCAUGUGUGUGUAUAUGUAUGUAUGUAUAAACCUUGUAUAUUAU